GCAGCACGGGGGGGGGUGGGAGGGGGAAUACGGAGGGGGUGAAAGUGGGGCGGAAUCGUUGGGCGUAAAGCGCAAGUAGGAGGCGAGGAAAGUGGGGUGUGAAAGCCCUGGGCGCAACCCAGGAAGUGCAUUCAAAACUACCUUGCUUGAAUCUCGGAGGGGGUCAGAGAAUUCCCGGUGUAGAGGUGAAAUGCGUAGAUAUCGGGAGGAAUACCAGUGGCGAAGGCGCUGACCUGGACGAAGAUUGACGCUGAGGUGCGAAAGCGUGGGGAGCAAACAGGAUUAGAUACCCCAGUAGUC
rnacentral:rRNA from 1 species